rnacentral:ncRNA from 2 species
UUCUUAUUGAGAGCAGGUGGAGGGACUAGCCCUAUGAAACCCGGCAACCGACUUCUUUUGUAUAAAGAAGCACGGUGCUAAAUCUUGCAGCAAUUGUGCUGAGUAAUAAGGA